UUGCUUCUCUGGAUGAGUUGCGAACGGGUGAGUAACGCGUAGGUAACCUGCCUGGUAGCGGGGGAUAACUAUUGGAAACGAUAGCUAAUACCGCAUAAGAGUAGAUGUUGCAUGACAUUUGCUUAAAAGGUGCACUUGCAUCACUACCAGAUGGACCUGCGUUGUAUUAGCUAGUUGGUGGGGUAAGGGCUCACCAAGGCGACGAUACAUAGCCGACCUGAGAGGGUGAUCGGCCACACUGGGACUGAGACACGGCCCAGACUCCUACGGGAGGCAGCAGU
rnacentral:rRNA from 1 species